rnacentral:lncRNA from 1 species
AGACAGACAGGGUCUCACUCUGGCUGCCCAGGCUGGAGUGCAGUGGUGCGAUCUUGGUUCACUGCAGCCUCGACCUCCCUGGCUCCUGGCUCAGGUGAUUCUCCCACCUCAGCCUCCUGAGUAGCUGGCGUUGCAGGCGUGCGCCACCAUGCUUGGCUAAUUUUAUUUAUUUUUAGUAGAAAUCGGGUUUCACUAUGUCACUCAGGAUGGUCUCGAACUUCUGGACUCAAGCAGUCCUCCAGCCUCGGCCUUCUGGAGUACUGGGCUUACAGGCAUGAACCACCGUGCCCUGCCCAGGGGCUCACUUGUUAUUGAUUGAUUGAGAUGGAGUCUCGCUCUGUCGCCCCAGGCUGGAGUGCAGUGGCAUGCUCUCGGCUCAUUGCAACCUCGGCCUCUGGGGUUCAUGCGAUUCUCCUGCCUCAGUCUCCUGAGGAGCUGGGAUUACAGGCGCGUGCUACCAUGCCCGGCUAAAUUUUGUAUUUUUAGUAGAGACGGGGUGUUGUCGAGUUGCCCAGGCUGGUCUCGAACUCCUGACCUCAAGUGAUCCUCCCGCCUCGGCCUCCCAAAGUGCUAGGAUUACAGGCGUGAGUCACGGUGCCCGGCCCCAGGGGCUCAAUUCUAAGGUCCAUUAUUUUCACCCUCAAUUUUUGUCACAUUUCUUCAGCAGGUUUCAGCGAAACUAGAUUGUUCAGAAGUCUCACAUUUCCUUUCCACUUGUCAAAUUUCCGCACCCCCCACCUCCUAACCCAGGUGCUUCCCCUGAAAACUCAUCCCAGAAGCCAAAACGGUAGUUUGCUGUCCCUUUGCUGAGUUUAGUCUUGUUAACAGCCCUAUUAAGGUUUAUUUAUUUAUUUAUUUAUUUUGAGAAAAGGAGUCUUACUCUGUUCCCUACGCUGGAGUUGCAGUGAACCGAGAUCAUGCACUGCACUCCAACCUAGGUGACAGAGCGAGACUCUGUCUCAAAAAUAAGUUGGGUAGAAGGUGCUUUGAAAGAAGUACCAUCUGAGACCUGAGGAUGAGUAGGAUUUUACCUUGGAGGUCACAGUAGGUUUGAGGAAGAGUUGUUCCAGGCAGAAGGAACAGCAAGUGGGAAAGACCUGAGCAAGAAGAGCUGCAUCCUUGAUACAUUGAAGAGCAGCCACGACUCUUUCAGCUGCUUGAGAGAAUGCUGUGAGAUGAAUCUGAGGAAUUAGGCAGAGCCUUGUAAAUAAUAAUAAUGAUUUUUACCUAGGUGCAGUGGGAAGAUUAUUUUUUGACACGGAGUCUGGCUCUGUCACCCAGGCUGGAGUGCAUUGUUGCGGUCAUGUGCAUACAUGCGGCUAAUUUUUGUAUUUUUAGGUAGACGUGGUUUCGCCAUGUUGGCCAGGAUGGUCUCAAACUCCUGGUCUCAAGUGAUCCGCCCGCCUUGACCUCCCAAAGUGCUGGGAAUACAGGCGUGAGCCACCGCGCCCGGCCUGUAAAAUUCUUUAUUAUGGCUCUAACACGUUUUCUUCAAACAGGUUAUUUCUAACUUUUUGCUGUUACAAAUAGUUCUUCAAUAAGUAGCCUUACAUAUUUAUGUUGUAAUGUUAAUGCUUUUAUUUUUAUUGUAUAGAUUUCCAGAGGUGAAUUUGCUAGGGUAAGGGAUAUACUGUAUAUACUUAAAGUUUCAGUAAUAUUGCCAGAAUUCUUUACACAAAUAUAACAGAUUAAUUUGCAGUAGGAACAGAUGUGAUUUCUCUACUUCAUUGGAGAUUAUGAGAAUUAUAAUGAGUUAAAACUAUAACUUAUACCUUUUUUUUUGCCAUAGUGCUCAGAAUAAUGCCUGGGAUUCAGUAAAUACUGCCAAAGUAUUUGCUAAUAAUACUAUUACUUUUUGUAUUUUUUAUUAAUUUUUUAUGAGAUUAGGACAGUAAGAUGAAAUCUAUGGAAGUUUACCUUUUGGGUUCUACAACUGUGUACUUUUAAAGUGCAAAGGUUAAUUACUGAGGAAUUUGCUGUGUUUUUAGGAACAGCAAAUCUCAAAAGUAUGAGUUGUUUGGUCUGUUGGGUAUCAGCUCUUUUUGGUACUUUCUAGUCCAUGGCUAAUGCAGUAACCAGAGAGUACUCUGAUUAAUGUCUCUAUUUCCAUUCUAGUUUUGCCUAUCAGUUGUAUGUGAUAGUCUAAUUAUUGCGGUUUCUCUGAAAAGCUCAUUUUCUCCUAUUGUUGAAGAAAGUGAAUUAGAGCAAUGGCUGUUGUAAUAUCCUGAGAGUAGUUCUGCGUACCUUUUUUUUUUUUUUUUGAGACAAUGUCCCACUCUGUUGCUCAGGCUGGAGUGCAAUGGUGCAAUCUUGGCUCACUGCAACCUCCGCCUUUCAGGCUCAAGCAGUUCUGGUGCCUCAGCCUCCCGAAUAGCUGGGACUACAGGUGCAUGCCACCGCGCCUAGCUAUGCAUACACUUAUAAAAAUGAAACUAUACCUUUUAAAGGACCUAUGCCAAUUGCAGCUGUUCAUAAUAUCCUCUCAGAAUGUGCAUAAAUAUUCGGUCAGUAGUUUCUUUUAAGAAAAGGAAAACAGUGAUAUUGUCUGGCUGAAAAAAGAAGUAAUUUCUAGGACUUAAAGAUUAGAACAGAGGGAUCUUAAACUUGAUUUGAAUUAACUCCGUGCAAUUUGGAAUGGAGGAAAAGCAAUGUCAGUCAAGCAGCAAAUGUGUGAGUACUUCUUAUGGAUUAAGCAGCAUUGACUUGGCAUUGUGUGUAGUAUAGAAGAAGUGUAAGAUAGAGAUUCCUGCUGUCUAGUUGUAAUCAAUGUGGUUAAAAUAUGAAUAACAUAAGCAGCAGUAAAUAGAAUGAGUCCAAUUAUGGACAAGGCUGUGUGAUACAGACCUAAAAUACCAUGUUCAAAGGAGAUGUAAGCAGUGGAGGCUAAACUGAUGAGGAAAGGCUGGAGUGAGACUUGAACAAAUAGGAUUAGAUAAUACAUGGAAUAAAGGAUUCAGAUAGUUUGAGUGAAGGAUGGAAGUAGGAAUGAAUUAAGGCUGGCUGUGGUGGCUCAUGCCUGUUAUCCCAGCACUUUGGGAGGCCGAGGCAGGAGGAUUGCUUGAAGUUAGGAGUGUGAGACCAGUCUGGGCAAUAUAGCGAGACUCUGUCUCUAUAAAAAAUUUAAAACAUUAGCAGGCUGUGGUGGCAUGCCAGCUACUUGGGAAACUGAGGUGGGAGGAUCACUUGAGGUUAGUGAUCAAGGCUGCAGUGAGCCGUGAUUGAGUACUACACUCCAAGCCUGGGCAACAGAGUGAGAACCAUCUCUUAAAAAACAUAACGGGGCUGGGCACAGUGGCUCACGCCUGUAAUCUCAGCACUUGAAGAGGCUGAGGUGGGCGGGUCGCCUGAAGUCAGGAGUUUGAGACCAGCCUGGCCAACCCGGUGAAACCUUGUCUCUACUAAAAAAUACAAAAUUAGCUGGGUGUGGUGGUGCAUGCCUGUAAUCCCAGCUGAGGAUGAGGCUGAGGCAUGAGAAUUGCUUGAAUUCGGGAGGUGGAGGUUGCAGUGAGCUGAGGUCAUGCCAUUGCACUCCAGCCUGGCCAUCAGGAGUGAAACUCCAUCUCAAAACCCCAAAAACAAAACCAAAACAAAAUAGGGCCGGGUGUGGUGGUUUACAUCUGUAAUCCCAGCACUUUGGGAGGCCGAGGUGGGGGGAUCACUUGAGCUCCGGAGUUUGGGACCAGCCUGGACAACAUGGCGAAACCCCAUCUCUACAAAAAGUACAAAAAUUGGCCGGGUGUGGUGGCUCACACCUGUAAUCCCAGCACUUUCGAAGGCCGAGGUGGGCAAAUCCCCUGAGGCCAGGAGUUUGAGACCAGCCUGGCCAGUAUGCUGAAACCCUGCCUCU